CAGGACUAUAAGUUAAUUGUAAACUAUUGGCCUUCAAAGCCGACAAUGGGCUAACCUAGUCUUGU
rnacentral:tRNA from 1 species